rnacentral:lncRNA from 1 species
CCGACGUUCCAACCGCCUUGUAAUACGUCAUGGAAGCAUCUGUUUUAUUUCGUUUUGUUGUUUUAAGAAAAGCAUCCUAAACACGUUUUGAGGUACAUGUUCCGCUUCCACUUUACCGCGCACUAAUUUGGUUGUGUAAAAGCUGACAUUGCCUACCCAAACACGAGGUCAAACUCUGAAAGUUAGUUUUGACACUCUCCUAUGGAAAAGGAAAAAAACAUAAUCGACAAAAAGGGUGAGCCUGCUUCUAACAACUCCCUCAAAAGGCUCUGUAACCCGUCCAAAAGAUGAUGUCAAGUGCUACAAGGACCCAGGUCAGCCCUGCAUCAUAGGUUUAAGUACAAGAUUGAUUGUGCGUAUCUGACAACGUGAAGUA